rnacentral:rRNA from 1 species
AAUACAUGCAAGUCGAACGCUUCUUUCCUCCCGAGUGCUUGCACUCAAUUGGAAAGAGGAGUGGCGGACGGGUGAGUAACACGUGGGUAACCUACCCAUCAGAGGGGGAUAACACUUGGAAACAGGUGCUAAUACCGCAUAACAGUUUAUGCCGCAUGGCAUAAGAGUGAAAGGCGCUUUCGGGUGUCGCUGAUGGAUGGACCCGCGGUGCAUUAGCUAGUUGGUGAGGUAACGGCUCACCAAGGCCACGAUGCAUAGCCGACCUGAGAGGGUGAUCGGCCACACUGGGACUGAGACACGGCCCAGACUCCUACGGGAGGCAGCAGUAGGGAAUCUUCGGCAAUGGACGAAAGUCUGACCGAGCAACGCCGCGUGAGUGAAGAAGGUUUUCGGAUCGUAAAACUCUGUUGUUAGAGAAGAACAAGGACGUUAGUAACUGAACGUCCCCUGACGGUAUCUAACCAGAAAGCCACGGCUAACUACGUGCCAGCAGCCGCGGUAAUACGUAGGUGGCAAGCGUUGUCCGGAUUUAUUGGGCGUAAAGCGAGCGCAGGCGGUUUCUUAAGUCUGAUGUGAAAGCCCCCGGCUCAACCGGGGAGGGUCAUUGGAAACUGGGAGACUUGAGUGCAGAAGAGGAGAGUGGAAUUCCAUGUGUAGCGGUGAAAUGCGUAGAUAUAUGGAGGAACACCAGUGGCGAAGGCGGCUCUCUGGUCUGUAACUGACGCU